CUGCACUUGGGUUUGCAACCUUAAAGUUGUAGCACGCGUUUCCGGCCAGUCGUCGGCGGUGGAACUCCGGCGAGGAGAGUGUCGGCGCGUGUAGCGAUUUUCGUCGAUGGUGUCUUCAGGCAGUUUUCUCCUGACGAUGAGACGGACCUUAUGGUGGUGUCCAAUUUCAGUUUUGGGCAAAAAUUGUGAUUUUGGACUAUUUUGCCCCUUGCAUGCUCGGUUGUUUUCAGUUUUGGGUGUUGCAGGUUGCGAGUUCUUCAUGAUUUGAUUGAGAUUUUUCAGAGAUGAAUUUGUUGAAGUAUGAAAUUCCGCUAUUGGAUCGCAAUACAAGAUUUUCGCUGUGGCAAGUAAAGGUGAGAGCCGUGUUGACGCAGAUGGAUCUUGAUGAUGUUUUUUUGGGUUUUGAUAGGAUGCCAGCAAACUUAUCUAUGGAGGAGAAACAACGGAAGGAUCGGAAGGCUUUAGCACAAAUCCAACUUCAUUUAUCCAACAAUUUGCUACAAGAUGUUUUGAAGGAGAAGACAACGGCUACUUUGUGGCUCAAGCUGGAGCAGUUGUGUAUGACAAAGAGUUUGACGAGCAAACUGACUAUAAAGCAGAGGUUGUAUUCUCAUCGCAUGGCGGAAGGAGGGUCACUGCAGGACCACCUUGCUGUGUUCAAGGAGAUCGUUGCAGAUUUGAAAACGUUGGAGGUAAAAUAUGAUGAAGAGGAUCUAGCCUUGGUCCUGUUGUGUUCGCUACCCAAUUCUUUUUCGUCAUUUCGUGAUAUUAUUCUGUAUAGUCGUGACACGUUAUCCAUUGAGGAGGUAUACGAUGCCCUAUUCUCAAAAGAGAAGAUGGAGUUGUUGAUUGGAGAUCCUGCAUCUAGGAGUGGGGAUGCUCUUGUUACUCAUGGUGAUCGACGGAGGGGUAGAUCGAAGGUGAAGUACAGCAAUGUGUAUUGUUAUUACUGCAAGAGGAAAUGACACAUCAAGAAAGAUUGCGACAAGUUGCAAGGUAAAGGUGAUUUACAUGGAAAUCAUGCGGGGCAAUCAGGUAAUUCGAACGAGACUAAUAUUGGUGAAAAUUUUUGUGAUGAUGGAGAUGUGAUGUUGGCUGUAUCUGACGGGGAAUCCAAACCUGAGGAGUGGAUUCUGGAUUCUGCUUGUUCGUAUCAUAUGUGUCCCAAUAGGGUUUUGUUUCAAACAUAUGAGACGGUGAAACAAGGUGGAGUUGUUAUGGGAAACAACCAAUCUUGUCGGGUUGCAGGAAUCGGUCGGGUCAGAUUGAGGCUACAGGAUGGAACAGUGAGGACACUUGAUCAGGUUCACCAUGUUCCAGGCUUGACAAAGAAUCUCAUAUCACUGAGUAUCUUGGAUGAAAAAUGGUACAAUUUUUCUGGUGGAGGUGGAGUCUUGAGGUUCGAAGGGGUGUCCGGGUUGUACUGGAGGGAUGGAGGAAAUCCCAGUUGUACAUCUUGCAGGGGAGUGCAAAACCAGUUCAGAGACAUUUGGACAAGUUCAGUACCGUGGUGGACAUUCAAUUUGGUACAGUACCUCUCGGGUUUGGCUCUGGGUGAAUUAAGAACUUUCCUCAAUAGAGUGUUGGUGAUUCUGCUUUGCCACCAAUUUUAGCGGGUACACUGUGUUCUUGUAAUGCCAAUGGACUCAUGGAGUAUAGGUACAGUUUUGGGGAUGUCUGUAAAACUUUAGAAAUCAUUGAAGGUUGUCAUAUUGGCAAAGGAUCUUCUGAUUGUGCAUUUGGUGUGGUUUGUGCUACAGGGUGUACUUCGACCCUGUCCAGUGAUUGUUAAUUCCAGGAGGAAUUUUGGGAACCCGGGUUUGGGUUCGAGUGUCGGGUGUGGACGUCAGGCGGAGGAACGUGUUUUCGUGGAGAGUUUGGUUACUGUGUUGAGAAGCUUGGUUAUUCUGAUGCAGACGGAUCAUUUCUCAAGGUGGAGAAAUUUUGGAGCUUCGUUCGUUGCACCGGAAUUUGAGUCAAUGUGGAGAUUGUUAGAAGUGUGACUCAAAUAGGAGUCUAAAUUGCAUUAGAUUUCUUACAUUUUUUAGGACUCUUUUAGGGCUAGAUUUUAUGCUAUAAAUACAAGACUUCUCUGUCAGUUUUAUUGAAGCCUUUUGCUGUAUUGUAC
rnacentral:lncRNA from 1 species